rnacentral:snRNA from 1 species
GAAUGUGAGGGCGAUCUGGCUUCAACAUUCAUCACUCCAUUGAUGGACAGGGUUGAUUUGGCUGAUCUAGCUGGCUAGGCGGGUGACCCCUUCCUCCCUCACUGCUCCCUGUGCGUCCCUCCUGAAGCUGCAUGUUUGGUUGAAGAGGACGGCCUUCCCUCAAAUAGAGAUGAGUAGUCUUCGGUUGAGGAUAUACAAGUAGCUGUGCUCCCCUGCUAGAACCUCCAAACAGACUCUAUACUAUUGCAAACCAAUAUUCAGUCAACAAAUGCUCAGUGAGAAAAAUAAAAUAAAAUAGUAAUAAGACGGACCACAGGGCUCUCAAGAUGAUUGAG